rnacentral:rRNA from 1 species
UACGAAGGGAACUAGCGUUGUUCGGAUUUACUGGGCGUAAAGAGCAUGUAGGCGGAUUGGUUAGUUGGAGGUGAAAUCCCAGAGCUCAACUCUGGAACUGCCUUCAAUACUGCCAGUCUAGAAUCUGUAAGGGGGUGGUGGAAUUCCGAGUGUAGAGGUGAAAUUCGUAGAUAUUCGGAGGAACACCAGUGGCGAAGGCGACCACCUGGUACAGUAUUGACGCUGAGAUGCGAAAGCGUGGGGAGCAAACAGG